GCUUGCUUAGCCAGCACAUAUACUAAUUUGAACAGGUACCAAGAAGAAUAGAAUUGUCUCUGAGCAAGGAUGACAUGCAAAUUCGUGAAGCAUUCCAAAUUUUU